GUGUGAGAGUGUGUGUGUGUGUGUGUGAGAGUGUGUGAGUGUGUGAGAGUGUGUGUGAGUGUGAGAGUGUGUGUGUGUGUGUGUGAGAGAGUGUGUGUGUACUGAGAGCGUUUGAGACUCAGCUCUUUGACCUUUGACCCCUCUGUUCACUUCCAGGAUGGAGAUAAGAAGUUCACGCGUGGUAACGAGCAGUACAUCCGCCCCUGCGGGUGGAACCGCGCCGCCCUGCGGGUCGUGCAGAAGUACAGCGAUGGGGACAAGUGGCUGGGGACGGGGCAGGACGCCUGGCCCGUGUCCUACCAGGGGAAAGACAUGGACGGCUCCCUCAUCCUGACCCACGGCGGCAAGCCCGACGACCAGCCACAGUUUCUGGAUGCCGCCGCCGCCUCUUUGUUAACGGAAGGGACGAAGGGCCGAGGGGUGUACUCCACGCCGGACAUCAGGAUCGCAGAGAAGUACUGCAAGAAGUUCAAGUCCAGAGUGGACGGGAAGACGUACCAGGUGGUCCUCCAGAACCGCAUAAACCCGGAGAAAAGGAAGUCGUGCCAGAGGCAAGACGUCUGGGUGGUGUACAUCCCCGAGGACACCAGCGACGUGAGGGUGAGGGCCAUCGUGCAGGAGUCCAUCCGCCCGUACGGGCUGCUGCUGAAGCAGGUGUGAUGCAGCUGGAACGACCUGCCGUCACUUCAGCUUCACGAUUUUCACAUUGUUAACAAAAAACUGAGAACAUGCUUCAAAUUCCCAACGGUGGGACUAAUAAAGGUAUCUUAUCUUAUGCUUGCUCCGCGCUCGUGGCAGGACGAGCUCCUGAAAGCUCUUUAUUGGGAGGGUGUGGAAUAAUAAACCAGUAUCGUCUCUUUAUCCUCACAGUUUAGUAAAAGUACGGCCGUCUGAUCAAACCUCGCUGAACCGCGCUGCCUUUCAGUCUCCUCACAGCUCCAAUCACAACAUUAGAUCCAAACCACCCAUGAAUAAGCCUUCAUCUCAAACACAGGAGGAGGGACGCGUGCAGCGCGGUUAGCGGCGUCCUGCCUCACGCUGCGAUCCUUUCGCUCGGUGUCAGAGUUGGAGGUCAGACCUCUGAGUCCCAAACUUCUUCACAUUCCUAGUUUUUAAGCCUCGAUAGUGAGGCGGGGUCAGAGGGCAGACCCCGUCAGUCACAGGUGAGCGCACACCGGCUUUAAGAUUUUACUAAUUAAACUUCACGUUGUUAUUUUUAAUAAGACUUGAACCUAAUGAGCUCAGGAUAACUUGCUCGCUGCAGUCUAAGAGACGAUAGAUCGUUAUUGUCACAGUUACCAUGAAACACUGACAGCUGCUGCCCCCUGCUGGUCCCAGCAACCACUGCAGGCUUCAGAGCUACAUCCAGGUGUGUUUCCAGUACAGGCUGAGGGUGGUCUGCAGAGACGCUGAAAGUGGCGUUAGAUUGAAUUCUCGUCCUGUUUUCCUUCCUGUCUGAUCAGCAGCACUGGAUCCACUCUUUUCUUUGAUGAUCAGAGAAGGAGAUGAUUUUGCUUCAGUCUUGUUCUUAUUUGAAAAGGUUGCUGUGAGGUGUGACGCCACAGGUCUGAUGUUUUUCAUGGCAUCGUUUCAAAUGUAAGAAUGGAAAUGAUAAAGAAUCUCUUAUAUUUAGCUUGUGCGGGGUCUCCACGCUGCCACCAGCUGUGAGAACAGAUGUUUUCCUUGUACAUGUGAAUUUGAUUUGCUUGAAUGGAAUUAAACAGAGCGCACUCA
ensembl:lncRNA